rnacentral:misc_RNA from 1 species
AAGGAGCACUUCUUACCAGGCUUCGGUUUGGUCAGAGGCCAGUACACCGGCGAAUGUUCGGUGCUGGUUGCUCAUGGGUGGAACGUUGACUAUUCGGCACGACAGGUUGAUCACUGCUAGUACUGCUUCGGCGUGGAACGUGGUGAGGGAUCGGUCGUGUCGGGCACGUUGUUGGGUGUCUGAGGGUACGGCCGAUGAGGCUGCCUUCUGAUCCGGCCCCAGUGAACUCAUCCGGUUUCGGGUGGGGCGGUGGGUGGCUGGUCGUUG